UGCACAAAAUUUUGUUUGUAAAAGCAUUUCAAAAAACAAGACCAAAUCAAAGCCGAAAGGGAAUCUGGUCCAUAUUCCAGAACCUGAUAGCAGGUCCGUUUCGGAUCCUCAUCCGUCGUGGCAACACGAAACGACUAGGAGACGCCCCUUAGAGCUCUGGGAAGAGUUGUCUUUUCUGCAUGAANNUUUGGUUUUUAAAAAUUGGCGAAGAGUGCUGCNGUUUCCGCGGCAUCCACGAGUGUCUAAGGGGACCUUGAAAAUCCUAGGGAGGGUUACGGGGAGKUGCAUCAGCUCGUACUCAUAUCCACAGCAGGUCUCCGAGGUGAAUAGCCUCU
rnacentral:rRNA from 1 species